rnacentral:rRNA from 1 species
AUUGAACGCUGGCGGCAUGCCUUACACAUGCAAGUCGAACGGCAGCGGGGACUUCAGUCCGCCGGCGAGUGGCGAACGGGUGAGUAAUGUAUCGGAACGUACCAUUGAGUGGGGGAUAACGUGGCGAAAGUUACGCUAAUACCGCAUAUUCUCUCCGGAGGAAAGCAGGGGACCGCAAGGCCUUGCGCUCUUUGAGCGGCCGAUAUCAGAUUAGCUAGUUGGGGAGGUAAAGGCUCACCAAGGCGACGAUCUGUAGCGGGUCUGAGAGGAUGAUCCGCCACACUGGAACUGAGACACGGUCCAGACUCCUACGGGAGGCAGCAGUGGGGAAUUUUGGACAAUGGGGGCAACCCUGAUCCAGCCAUGCCGCGUGAGUGAAGAAGGCCUUCGGGUUGUAAAGCUCUUUCGGCCGGGAAAAAAUCGCAUGGGCUAAUACCCUGUGUGGAUGAUGGUACCGGAAUAAGAAGCACCGGCUAACUACGUGCCAGCAGCCGCCGUAACAC